CAAACUUGAAAAUGAUCUUUCUGAUUCUCGAAAAAUGAGGGGCAAUAGGAUUGAUAGAGAAAGAUCUCUCAUUCUUUUUAUAGGAUCGUGAUUGGAUCCGCAUAUGUUUGGUAAAGAGAAUAAUCUUCUCAUUUGAAAAUAAUAAAAAAUGGAAAGUGUUCAAUUGGAACAUGAAAACGUGACUAAAAGGUCCUAGUUACUCUUCGGGACAGAGUGGAAGAAGGGAAGGGAUCCUUGAACGCGGAAAAUGAUCGAAUGAAUUCGAAAGAAUUGAACGAGGAGCCGUAUGAGGUGAAAAUCUCAUUUACGGUUCUGUAGAGUGGCAGUAAGGGUGACUUAUCUGUCAACAUUUCCACUAUCACCCCCAAAAAACAAAACUCUGCCUUACGCAAAGUUGUCAGAGUACAAUUGACAUGUGGAUUUGAAAUCAUUGCUUAUAUACCCUGUAUUGGCCAUAAUUUACAAGAACAUUCUUCACUCUUAGUAAGAGGGGGA
rnacentral:lncRNA from 1 species